rnacentral:rRNA from 1 species
GAUGAACGCUGGCGGUGUGCCUUAUACAUGCAUGUCGAACGAGGCGUAGCAAUACGUCUAGUGGCAAAUGGGUGAGUAAUAAAUAGGUAACCAACCCUUAAGACGGGGAUACCCCAUCGAAAGAUGGAAUAAUACCCGAUAAUGUCCCUUCCGGUGCGCUGGAGGGGAAGAAAGAUGGCGCAAGCUAUCACUUUUGGACGGGCUUAUUUCCUAUCAGCUAGUUGGUGAGGUAACGGCUUACCAAGGCUACGACGGGUAGCUGGUCUGAGAGGACGGUCAGCCACAUUGGGACUGCGACACGGCCCAGACUCCUACGGGAGGCAGCAGUCGGGAAUAUUCGGCCAAUGCGCGAAAGCGUGACCGAGCGACACCGCGUGGGCGACGAAGAUCUUAGGAUUGUAAAGCCCUUUUGCCAGGGAAGAAUACGCUGGAGACAAUAUCAAUAGCGUUUGACGGUACCUGGCGAAUAAGCCGCAGCAAACUACGUGCCUGCAGCCGAC